rnacentral:rRNA from 1 species
GUAGGUGGCAAGCGUUGUCCGGAAUUAUUGGGCGUAAAGCGCGCGCAGGCGGUUCGUUUAAGUCUGAUGUGAAAGCCCACGGCUCAACCGUGGAGGGUCGAUUGGAAACUGGAGAACUUGAGUACAGAAGAGGAAAGCGGAAUUCCACGUGUAGCGGUGAAAUGCGUAGAGAUGUGGAGGAACACCAGUGGCGAAGGCGGCUUUCUGGUCUGUAACUGACGCUGAGGCGCGAAAGCGUGGGGAGCAAACAGGAUUAGAUACCCUGGUAGUCCACGCCGUAAACGAUGAGUGCUAAGUGUUAGGGGGGUUUCCGCCCCUUAGUGCUGCAGCUAACGCAUUAAGCACUCCGCCUGGGGAGUACGGCCGCAAAGGCUG